AACACCAACUGAACACAGCAUUACAGUCCAAGAUAAAAGUACCUUUAUUUCUUCAUUUUAAAAAUACAUAAACUGUAGAUCAAAGGGGGGACUAUCACAAUAUCAAACCGGUAUCAUUGUCUUCUAAACUCAAGAGACAUGUAAGAGAUUGCUCCAAUUUUCCAGUGUGGUGUUCACUCCUUAAUCAUCAGUUGAUGUAUUUUUUAAAUGAAGAAAUAUAGGUCCUACAGUAUUAUUUAUCUUGGAGGGUGGUGGUGUGUUCAUUUGGCGUU